rnacentral:rRNA from 1 species
UACGUAGGGGGCAAGCGUUGUCCGGAUUUAUUGGGCGUAAAGAGCGUGUAGGCGGCCAUACAGGUCCGUUGUGAAAACUGGAGGCUUAACCUCCAGACGUCGAUGGAAACCGUAUGGCUAGAGUCCGGAAGAGGAGAGUGGAAUUCCUGGUGUAGCGGUGAAAUGCGCAGAGUAUCAGGAAGAACACCCGUGGCGAAGGCGGGUCUCUGGACAGUUCCUGACGCUGAGGCACGAAGGCCAGGGGAGCAAACGGG